rnacentral:rRNA from 1 species
GACCGUGCAAAGGUAGCAUAAUCAUUUGCCUUAUAAUUAAAGGCUAGUAUGAAUGGUUUGACAAGAAUUAAGCUGUCUCUUUUUAAUUAAACAUAAUUUUAUAGAUAGGUGAAGAAGCCUAUAUUACAUUGAAAGACAAGAAGACCCUGUCGAGCUUAAAAUAAAUUAGUAAAUUAUGUGCAUAUUCCAUAAAAUAAUUAAGUUACUAAAAAUUUUGGUUGGGGCGACUGAGGAACAAAAGAAGCUUCCUUUUAACUAAAAAAUACAAGCAAGUGUUGAUCCAAAAGGUUUGAUUAAAGAAAUUAGUUACCGCAGGGAUAACAGCAUAAUCCUCUUUGAGAGUUCUAAUCGAAAAGGGGGUUUGUGACCUCGAUGUUGGACCAGAAUAUCCUAAAGAUGCAGCUGUCUUUAAUGGUUGGUCUGUUCGACCAUUAAAAUUCUACGUGAUCUGAGUUCAGACCGGCGUGAGCCAGGUCAGUUUCUAUCUUCAAUUACUAAAAUAACUUUAGUACGAAAGGACCAAGCUAUUUCAAAAUUUUGAUAUAAGCUGAUAAAAUAUAAAGAAAUGUUAAGUCUAUUAAUAAGAUAUAUCAAAUUAGCAAAGAUAAUGCAAUUGACUUAGGAUCAAUAGACAUAGGUGAAAUUCCUUUAUUUGAUAUUAUAUAUAAUUAUGGAGGUGGCAGAAAAA